GACGAACGCUGGCGGCGUGCCUAAUACAUGCAAGUUGAGCGCUGAAGGUUGGUACUUGUACCGACUGGAUGAGCAGCGAACGGGUGAGUAACGCGUGGGGAAUCUGCCUUUGAGCGGGGGACAACAUUUGGAAACGAAUGCUAAUACCGCAUAACAACUUUAAACACAAGUUUUAAGUUUGAAAGAUGCAAUUGCAUCACUCAAAGAUGAUCCCGCGUUGUAUUAGCUAGUUGGUGAGGUAAAGGCUCACCAAGGCGAUGAUACAUAGCCGACCUGAGAGGGUGAUCGGCCACAGUGGGACUGAGACACGGCCCAAACUCCUACGGGAGGCAGCAGUAGGGAAUCUUCGGCAAUGGGCGAAAGUCUGACCGAGCAACGCCGCGUGAGUGAAGAAGGUUUUCGGAUCGUAAAACUCUGUUGGUAGAGAAGAACGUUGGUGAGAGUGGAAAGCUCAUCAAGUGACGGUAACUACCCAGAGAGGGACGGCUAACUACGUGCCAGCCGCCGCGGUAA
rnacentral:rRNA from 1 species